UUUGAUGAGCAUGGUGUUGAUCGUGGUUGCGAACGUGGUAGGCGACGUGGUCGAAGGAGUAGGAGGAGAACAUGAUAUUAUAUUUCUAUAUUAUUGUAAAACUUGCUUUAAUUUUUGAUAUUCUGUUGUAAUUAUCUGGUAUUGAUACUUUAUUGAUAUUCUGUUGGUACUGAUGUGUGUAUUGUUAAUGCUGAAUUAUUUGUAUUGUUGCAUUGAAUUUGUUGUUGCAUUGUGAUGUUGUAUUGUACUAUUGUGACGA
rnacentral:lncRNA from 1 species